rnacentral:tRNA from 1 species
GGACGGGUGGCCGAGUGGCUUAAGGCGCACGAUUGGAAAUCGUGUGGGUUUACGCCCGCGUGGGUUCGAAUCCCACCCCGUCCG